UCUAAUCCCAAAAAACACGGCUGCACUUCCCUUUUUCAGAUAGACCCAAAUUACGUGUUCAAAGUUGUCCCUGCAGUUUGACUCAGUUGUUCAAAAAUCAACAAAGCCUGAAAUAAUUAACAGUUUUUUUCAAUUUUCAUUUUAUCUCCAAUUGUUAACGUCACUUUUGGCGUCUUAUAUUCGUCUUUUCAAUAGUAAAGAGUGCGUCUUCAAAUGGCAAAUGAAGCAAGACUUGGAACAUGUGAACAAGUAUUGCAGACAUCAGCAGACCCCCUUUGAAGAUAACUUCCUCCUAAAAUCCACAAAAAUCCCCUCACAAUUCCGAUUUAGACCCAAAACACCAGCUAGAUUACAACACCCAUAUCUCAUCAACUACCCAUUAUGCAAUCCCCGCUUUUGCCACAGCAGAGAAAAUUAGCUGCAAAUUGAGAUUUAUCCUCUCACAAAGCAGAAAAUUACUUUCUUUUUGUGCUUAUCUCUGUCUGGUUAAUUUUUAAUAUACCAAUUUAUCUUGCCAUAAAUAGUUUCCCUUCCAAGAAUAUGUUAUUCGACCAUUUUAAUUGCAGCCCCAAUUAUUUUUGUGACCAUUAACCAGCAUCUUUAAGAUCUGAUUAUUUAGGCAUGCUGUAAUGGAUUUAAUAUUUGAUACGGAAAAGAUGACAUUCGAUUCUGCAGUUAGAAUUUCGGAAUAUGCAAUAAUGUACUUGAUGAGAGGACAGAGCAGACAUCAAGCAACUUUCACACUGGCCAGUUGGACUCAAGUUCUUUCAGUUUUUGUUUUUAUUUUAUCUCAACUUCAAUUCGUUUCAUGCCGAUUCGGGUCCGACUUUGCUCCUUCGUAUCUCUACGACAUCGAGAAGAACAAUUAUGACGUAGUCAAGUGCUGUUUCGACAACCGAAUCCCAAAAUACUGUCUCAAAAUGUGCGACGGGAAAACACAGAGUUUCAGCAGUCGCGAUAUUUGCCGAGGGGCUUACGAGGAUAUUCGGAAAUUGUGCUUCAUUGGCCCAUCUUCCGAUGAAAACUAUUAUAAUGGCAACGAAAAUUAUAAACCAUCAAGCAAUAUCAAAUUAUACGAUCCAUUCGAAGCCAAUGAUGGCGGAAGUGAGUUUCGGAGUGAUCAAAAUGUGAACAAAGUUCAACUUUAUUUUCCACAAAAUGAAAAAUCGAAGAAUCAAAAAGAUCUAGCGGGUGUUAUUGCGACAAAUUAUAAUUGGUUGAUAAGCUUUUUCAUGCUGUUUUAUUUGUUAGAUUUUUGGUUAUUCUAAAUUUUGUCAAAUUUAUGAUGAACGGUCGUGUUAG